AGGGGGAGCAAUAGAGCUAUGCACUUUAUAAAUUUAAUGUUGGAUUUAUAUUUAUACCGAUAGAAAUGUGUUUUUAGAGAUGCUUAAAAUGAAUAGCAUUUGGUAAUGUAUAUUAUUCUGAAGAUUUUGUUAUUUUGUCAAACUGUGUUUGA